rnacentral:rRNA from 1 species
UGUUUGGGAAUGCAGCUCAAAGUGGGUGGUAAAUUCCAUCUAAAGCUAAAUAUUGGUGGGAGACCGAUAGCGUACAAGUACCGUGAGGGAAAGAUGCAAAGAACUUUGAAAAGAGAGUUAAAGAGUACCUGAAAUCGCUGAAAGGGAAGCGAAGGAAACCAGUGCAGGUCAAGUUAUACUUCCCUGACCGCUCGCGGCUUGGGCGCUGUGGCUUGACCAGAGUCUUGCUGGGUUGAAACUUUCGGAAGAGCUUGAAGGGAGUUGACCUUCUUUGCUGACGUUUGUUUCAACUGAGCCAGACAAAAUGGUUUUCUUUUCCCCGUCUUGAAACACGGACC